ACGGGUGAGUAACGCGUGGGAACAUACCCUUUGGUUCGGAAUAACUCAGGGAAACUUGAGCUAAUACCGGAUAAGCCCUUUUGGGGAAAGAUUUAUCGCCGAAGGAUUGGCCCGCGUCCGAUUAGCUAGUUGGUGAGGUAACGGCUCACCAAGGCGACGAUCGGUAGCUGGUCUGAGAGGAUGAUCAGCCACACUGGGACUGAGACACGGCCCAGACUCCUACGGGAGGCAGCAGUGGGGAAUAUUGGACAAUGGGGGCAACCCUGAUCCAGCCAUGCCGCGUGAGUGAUGAAGGCCCUAGGGUUGUAAAGCUCUUUCGGCGGGGACGAUAAUGACGGUACCCGCAGAAGAAGCCCCGGCUAACUUCGUGCCAGCAGCCGCGGUAAUACGAAGGGGGCUAGCGUUGCUCGGAAUCACUGGGCGUAAAGCGCACGUAGGCGGAUCUUUAAGUCAGGGGUGAAAUCCCAAGGCUCAACCUUGGAACUGCCUUUGAUACUGGGGAUCUCGAGUCCGGAAGAGGUUGGUGGAACUCCGAGU
rnacentral:rRNA from 1 species